GGAGAGCUCAGGACGGGGUUGUUUUUAAUCCCCUUUCUUCCCACUCCUUCCGAUCACUCUUUCCCAGUGGCUGUGCUCCUUGUCACCGUGGGGUGAAAGAGCUCCAAAUGCAGGGUUUGGCAUGGCAGCCUGCAGCUUGAACUUUAGGGCACCCACAGGACGUGUUUCCCAUGGCGCCCUCCUGUCUCCAGCACAGAGGGCUUGAUGGGCCGGCACGGUGCGUGGCAGCGUUUUUAUUUGAUUUCCCUUCUCCUGUACUGGUGAUAUUUAAAUAUUAAUGUCUGCCUCUAA